CCUACGGGUGGCAGCAGUGAGGAAUAUUGGUCAAUGGCCGGAAGGCUGAACCAGCCAAGCCGCGUGAAGGACGAAGGUGCAAAGCAUUGUAAACUUCUUUUGUCAAGGGACAAAAUCAGGCUCGAGAGCCUGACCGAGGGUACGUGCAGAAAAAGCAUCGGCUAACUCCGUGCCAGCAGCCGCGGUAAUACGGAGGAUGCGAGCGUUAUCCGGUUUUAUUGGGUUUAAAGGGUGCGUAGGCGGGAGGUUAAGUGAGCGGUAAAAGCCCGGGGCACAACGCCGGCGUGCCGUUGAAACUGGCUGUCUUGAGUGGGCGAGAGGUAUGCGGAAUGCGCAGUGUAGCGGUGAAAUGCUUAGAUAUUGCGCAGAACUCCGAUUGCGAAGGCAGCAUACCGGCCGCGAUCUGACGCUGAGGCACGAAAGCGUGGGUAUCGAACAGGAUUAGAUACCCGAGUAGUC
rnacentral:rRNA from 1 species